rnacentral:lncRNA from 1 species
UUUUUUUUUUUAGUUUUAUCUUUUCUCCCACCUUCAGAAGAAUAAAGCAUAGGCAUUUCCAUUAUUGCUAGAAUUUUCUCAAAUGUAAGUAUCUCGGUUUCAUAGAGAAAUUGAUAUAGAAUCUUCGAAAAAGUCUUUUCUUCGUAAUAAAGAAAAGACUUACUACCUUUGGGAUCUGAUGCUACACCGCUGCUCAAUACCUUAGGGGAUCGACUUUAUUACAUAAAUGGAUUCCUAACUUUUAUCUUCUAUCAUGACAUAAGUAAGUAGUUCUUAUUGUAUCGGCCCAAAACCUCACUAAUUGAUCUUUACGGUGCUUUCUCCGAAGAAUGUAAACUGUACAACUUGCUAAUAGCAUUGAUUAAAUGAAGUAAGGGACUUCGGUAUAUAUAGAGGACCUCACCGUUUAAGACAUAACCAUAGAAAUGAUGGAAUCCACUAUUUCGUUAUUCAUUUCUAUUUAUUACUUUUUUCUGUUUUUUGAUACCUAGUAUCAAUACUCAUUUUGAGGUGAAAUGACUAUAAAAAAAGAAAAGACAAAUCGUGGUCGGGAAGGUUAUAGUAGCAAAAGCCAUUGGAAUUUUUAUUUUAUACAUUGGAAGAAUCCAUUUUGUUAUUAAUAAACUAGGAAAAGGGAAAAGAAUAACUGAAAGAAAGGAA